CGGUGAAGGAGGAGCUUGCUCCUCCGGAUCAGUGGCGAACGGGUGAGUAACACGUGAGCAAUCUGCCCCUGACUCUGGGAUAAGCGUUGGAAACGACGUCUAAUACCGGAUACGAGCUGAGAAGGCAUCUUCAGCAGCUGGAAAGAACUUCGGUCAGGGAUGAGCUCGCGGCCUAUCAGGUAGUUGGUGAGGUAACGGCUCACCAAGCCUACGACGGGUAGCCGGCCUGAGAGGGUGACCGGCCACACUGGGACUGAGACACGGCCCAGACUCCUACGGGAGGCAGCAGUGGGGAAUAUUGCACAAUGGGCGAAAGCCUGAUGCAGCAACGCCGCGUGAGGGACGAAGGCCUUCGGGUUGUAAACCUCUUUUAGCAGGGAAGAAGCGAAAGUGACGGUACCUGCAGAAAAAGCACCGGCUAACUACGUGCCAGC
rnacentral:rRNA from 1 species